CUUUCCAUGAUGAGUAUACUAGAAGAUUUAUGGUUAGAACACAUAUGAUUAACCGUGAUUAUCUCAACUAGGGCGGACUGACCAA
ensembl:snoRNA snoRNA:Me18S-C1096